rnacentral:rRNA from 1 species
UACGUAGGGGGCUAGCGUUGUCCAGAAUCAUUGGGCGUAAAGAGCGUGUAGGCGGUCCGGUAAGUCCGCUGUGAAAGUCGGGGGCUCAACCCUCGAAUGCCGGUGGAUACUGUCGGGCUAGAGUCCGGAAGAGGCGAGUGGAAUUCCUGGUGUAGCGGUGAAAUGCGCAGAUAUCAGGAGGAACACCAAUGGCGAAGGCAGCUCGCUGGGACGGUACUGACGCUGAGACGCGAAAGCGUGGGGAGCAAACAGG